rnacentral:rRNA from 1 species
GAUGAACGCUGGCGGCGUGCCUAAUACAUGCAAGUCGAGCGAACAGACGAGGAGCUUGCUCCUCUGACGAUAGCGGCGGACGGGUGAGUAACACGUGGAUAACCUACCUAUAAGACUGGGAUAACUUCGGGAAACCGGAGCUAAUACCGGAUAAUAUAUUGAACCGCAUGGUUCAAUAGUGAAAGACGGUUUUGCUGUCACUUAUAGAUGGAUCCGCGCCGCAUUAGCUAGUUGGUAAGGUAACGGCUUACCAAGGCAACGAUGCGUAGCCGACCUGAGAGGGUGAUCGGCCACACUGGAACUGAGACACGGUCCAGACUCCUACGGGAGGCAGCAGUAGGGAAUCUUCCGCAAUGGGCGAAAGCCUGACGGAGCAACGCCGCGUGAGUGAUGAAGGUCUUCGGAUCGUAAAACUCUGUUAUUAGGGAAGAACAAAUGUGUAAGUAACUAUGCACGUCUUGACGGUACCUAAUCAGAAAGCCACGGCUAACUACGUG